rnacentral:rRNA from 1 species
AUAAUGGAGAGUUUGAUCCUGGCUCAGGACGAACGCUGGCGGCGUGCCUAAUACAUGCAAGUCGAGCGGAACCAUUGGAGCUUGCUCCUUUGGUUUAGCGGCGGACGGGUGAGUAACACGUGGGCAACCUGCCCUGCAGAUCGGGAUAACUCCGGGAAACCGGUGCUAAUACCGAAUAGUUUGCGGCCUCUCAUGAGGCUGUACGGAAAGACGGUUUCGGCUGUCACUGC